GCCAUGCAUGGUAGCGCAUGCCUGUAAUCCCAACAGCUCUGGAGGCUGAGGCAGGAGGAUUGCAAGUUCAUAGCAACAGUGAGGCACUAAGCAACUCAGUGAGACUCUGUCUCUA
rnacentral:sRNA from 1 species